UCCAUCUCUAUCAAAAUACUGUGGGGCUCCAAUAACUAUAUCUUGCCACCUAAAAACAUAAUGAGGGGAAAGAGCUGUGAACCAACAGCUAACAUACCAGCAACACCAGUCUAGGUACUAAGGAUACAAAGAGAUAUAAUAGAAAGGCCCUCAACUCCAGAAUUUAUGACUCAAUUAUAAUAUUUUUAAAAAACCAAGGUAGCCUAUAAUAAAUGCCCCAAGAAAAAUACUAAGGGCAAGAACUCAAAGCCAGUUCCUCGGGUUAGAACCAUAGUGCAGCAGGACUCCCAUUAAGACCUCACUGUUCCACCCCACCCCAACUGACACCAGCAGCCACAUGUUUUUUACUUUAUCACCAAUCCCUAUUUUCAACAGGAGCUGAUGCUCCAUCAGCCCCAUAUGAAACCACAGAACAGAAUCAUGCAAGUGUUUUGAGUUAAUUUUUUUCAAAUUUUAAUUCUCAUAGACUCAUGAUCCCAACAUCAUGUGAGAACUUUUGGCUGAUGAAUACAAGAUACGCUCAUUCAUUCUCUUCAUUGCUAUGAAAUCAGUUUUUCCACAACCUCCUGCAGAACCUCAACACAUCACUAGGUGGCAACAUCCCUACACCAUAUCGGUUUAGAAACCACCGUUAGGAGGAGCAGCAAAACACGCGGCAUCCCAGUAUGAUUUUUCUAAAUAAAGUUUACAGUCUUUGAGGCCUGGCUGACUCAUGGAACAACUAGGACAAGAAACAAAGACAAAGAACACACACCUGACUGGACAGAGAUAAACCAAGAGCUGAGAGUUUUGGAAACAAGGCUGGAGCUGAGGAAAAGGACUGGGAACACGAACCUGUACAAACAACAAACUCUUACAACAGAAAACAAGCCACUCCUGGCCGUCAAGAAACCCACAAAUCUCAGAAGCAAAAGCAAAACAAAUGAAAAUACAAACCAAAUAAUCUCUAUUACCUUCAUGCCUGUUGGGUCCCAAUAAAGGAAUCAUUCCAAUAAAGGAUUAACAUUUUUUAAACCAAUAUCAUGCAGCAGGUGCCACAGGAGGCAAGUGUACCUGGAAAGCAGGGAAGGGGGCCAGAAGAUGCCCAGACAGAGAAGGAUGGGUGGCUCAUGGAGAACACAUAGCCCCAGCACUGUCCUUCCUCCCAGAUCCCUGGACAGUCACAGCCCCCACCUCCAAACCCACCCUACAUUUGAAGGAACAAAACAGCGCACACCAAGGUACAGAACUGACACACAGACUUAAAUUAGGAACUGGAGCAGUGUCCUUGGUGCCUGAACCUUCUUGACAGAGGACAGAGGCAAGGCCAGGGCCACAGGGGUCCCUACAGGUCUGCUCCACACCUAUUCCAGUGAUGUCCCUGAUCCCAGGAAUGCCAACAAACAAGUACCUGGGAGGUGAACUGGCCUAGACUGUAAGGUGAAUGUGUUCAAUUACUGUACUUGGCAGAUGUCAGAGGUGGAGUCAUGUGGUGGGCGCUGGAAGGGAUAAGUGGGGUGCCAGGAUCAGAGGCCCAGAACCCCAGGACUUUCACACUGGAAGCCUCUGAGAGAGACCAGUCCUCCAAUUUUACAGAUAAACAGAGGCCUUGAGGAGCUUAAUUACUCAUCCCCCAAGAUCUCACAGCUAGUGGGUGGCCAUGACAAAAAUUAUCUUGGUGCAAUAUUGUCUCCAUUUCUUUACAAAGCUGCUUAGGAAGUAAAACCGGGAUUUCAAGUUUACAACCUAGUUGAAAGGGCAAAACUUACACAAAUAAAACAUCACAACCAAAACUGUUCUGUAUGCUGAUAAAGUUAAGAUAAUAGAGACAAGUAGAGGGAAGGAAGAAAAGCAUUAUUGCAGUUGGGUGGAGUGAAGGCUGGGUAAGAGAUUUCCUGUAAAGGUAACCACUGGCAAAGAGAAGCCUAGAAAAAGCAGCACAGGAGUCUCAGUGUCUUAACUGUGUGUCUUCCUAACCACUUCCUCUUCUCACCCACACCCAAGGUGGCUACUAAGUUACCUAAGGCAGGCACAGGGCUUAUUUCCUGUUUAUCCCAUUCCCACAUUCUUUCAUCUAUUCACUCAACAAACGCUGAUUAAGAGCCUCCUGGGAUGAAUAAGGAAUUGCCCCC